AGCAGCCGCCGCGGUAAUACGAAGGGUGCAAGCGUUACUCGGAAUUACUGGGCGUAAAGCGUGCGUAGGUGGUGGUUUAAGUCCGUUGUGAAAGCCCUGGGCUCAACCUGGGAAUUGCAGUGGAUACUGGGUCACUAGAGUGUGGUAGAGGAUAGUGGAAUUUCCGGUGUAGCAGUGAAAUGCGUAGAGAUCGGAAGGAACAUCUGUGGCGAAGGCGACUAUCUGGGCCAACACUGACACUGAGGCACGAAAGCGUGGGGAGCAAACAGGAUUAGAUACCCGUGUAGUCCCUGUCUCUUAUAC
rnacentral:rRNA from 1 species